rnacentral:rRNA from 1 species
UAGGGAAUCUUCGGCAAUGGACGGAANUNUGGACCGAGCAACGCCACGUGAGUGAAGAAGGUUUUCGGAUCGUAAAGCUCUGUUGUAAGAGAAGAACGAGUGUGAGAGUGGAAAGUUCACACUGUGACGGUAUCUUACCAGAAAGGGACGGCUAACUACGUGCCAGCAGCCGCGGUAAUACGUAGGUCCCGAGCGUUGUCCGGAUUUAUUGGGCGUAAAGCGAGCGCAGGCGGUUAGAUAAGUCUGAAGUUAAAGGCUGUGGCUUAACCAUAGUAGGCUUUGGAAACUGUUUAACUUGAGUGCAAGAGGGGAGAGUGGAAUUCCAUGUGUAGCGGUGAAAUGCGUAGAUAUAUGGAGGAACACCGGUGGCGAAAGCGGCUCUCUGGCUUGUAACUGACGCUGAGGCUCGAAAGCGUGGGGAGCAAACAGGAUUAGAUACCCUGGUAGUCCACGCUGUAAACGAUGAGUGCUAGGUGUUAGACCCUUUCCGGGGUUUAGUGCCGUAGCUAACGCAUUAAGCACUCCGCCUGGGGAGUACGACCGCAAGUUG